AAAAGCUCUUUUAACAGGUCACCUUUUACAUCUCGAUCAAGAUUUACGUUCGUUCAUCCAGAUGAAGAUGAAGAUGAAUCUGAAUUGAUCCAGGUUGGAGAUGGCCCAAAUAUGUGGGAAUAAGGUCUAUUAUGAAGUGGAAAUGUUAGCCGCCCAAUGCUGCCGUCAACUAAAUUGAAGACGCCCAUGAACUGAUCAUGAAAGCUUUCAAAUCCCCCACCUUUCUUUGGUAAAAUGGUUUUGUCAAUGAAAAUUAUGCAAUUUCCUUCUAGUUCAGAAAAAUCCUGAGCUGAAGUAGAGAAAGAACUGUGACCCACAAAGAAUAUUCUAUCUCCAAUGCUUUUCACGGGAUCCCAAUCAUGUUCUUCCUCAUUCAGCUUAUAAACUCUGAAAUCAACCACCAUACAUUGUGUCUCAGCAUUUGAUUGACGAUCGCAUUCUCCUUUAACGAAUCCAUCUACUAGAUAAAGAUCUCCG
rnacentral:misc_RNA from 1 species